GCCUACGGGCGGCAGCAGUGGGGAAUACUGCACAAUGGGGGAAACCCUGAUGCAGCGACGCCGCGUGAGUGAGGAAGUAUUUCGGUAUGUAAAGCUCUAUCAGCAGGGAAGAAAAUGACGGUACCUGACUAAGAAGCCCCGGCUAACUACGUGCCAGCAGCCGCGGUAAUACGUAGGGGGCAAGCGUUAUCCGGAUUUACUGGGUGUAAAGGGAGCGUAGACGGUUAAUCAAGUCAGAAGUGAAAACCCAGGGCUCAACCUUGGGACUGCUUUUGAAACUGAGUAGAUAGAGUGCAGGAGAGGUA
rnacentral:rRNA from 1 species